rnacentral:rRNA from 1 species
UGUUUCGGCUAGGGGGCCAUCCCGGCUUACCAACCCGAUGCAAACUGCGAAUACCGGAGAAUGUUAUCACGGGAGACACACGGCGGGUGCUAACGUCCGUCGUGAAGAGGGAAACAACCCAGACCGCCAGCUAAGGUCCCAAAGUCAUGGUUAAGUGGGAAACGAUGUGGGAAGGCCCAGACAGCCAGGAUGUUGGCUUAGAAGCAGCCAUCAUUUAAAGAAAGCGUAAUAGCUCACUGGUCGAGUCGGCCUGCGCGGAAGAUGUAACGGGGCUAAACCAUGCACCGAAGCUGCGGCAGCGACGCUUAUGCGUUCGUUGGGUAGGGGAGCGUUCUGUAAGCCUGUGAAGGUGGCCUGUGAGGGUUGCUGGAGGUAUCAGAAGUGCGAAUGCUGACAUAAGUAACGAUAAAGCGGGUGAAAAGCCCGCUCGCCGGAAGACCAAGGGUUCCUGUCCAACGUUAAUCGGGGCAGGGUGAGUCGACCCCUAAGGCGAGGCCGAAAGGCGUAGUCGAUGGGAAACGGGUUAAUAUUCCCGUACUUGGUGUUACUGCGAAGGGGGGACGGAGAAGGCUAUGUUGGCCGGG